AUUGAACGCUGGCGGCAGGCCUAACACAUGCAAGUCGAGCGAGCGGCGGACGGGUGAGUAAUGUCUGGGAAACUGCCUGAUGGAGGGGGAUAACUACUGGAAACGGUAGCUAAUAACGCAUAACAUCAGAUUUGCCCAGAUGGGAUGAGAUAGUAGGUGGGGUAACGGCUCACCUAGGCGACGAACCCUAGCUGGUCGUAGAGGAUAACCAGCCACACUUGAAAGGAGACACGGUCCAGACUCCUACGGGAGGCCGCAGUGGGGAAUAUGGCACAAUGGGCGCAAGCCUGAUGCAGCCAUGCCGGGUGUAUGAAGAAGGCCUUCGGGUUGUAAAGUACUUUCAGCGGGGAGGCGUUACCCGCAGAAGAAGCACCGGCUAACUCCGUGCCAGCCGCCGCGGUAAUUC
rnacentral:rRNA from 1 species